ACAAGCACAUCAGAGAGUGCGUCGUCACCAACGCGAAGGUGCUGAGUGAGACCACCAUCCAGCUGCCCGAAGUCAAUGCAGCAACAGUGACACAAUGGUUCAGCAGGCGUUGCCGAUCACAGGAGAAUGAUACUCUGAUGCAGGGUGUCCCUUCUCCAGACGCACCCAUGGCAGGACCAGAGACGCUUCCUGUGGCUUUGCAGAAAGCCACAACUCUACAUUCUGGCAAUCUGGCUGAGCCUCACCUGUUCAUUCUGCCACCAAACACUGCUGGGCAGGCGAAGCUCAAGGGGAGACCGCAACCUCAGGCCAUCCACCAAGCACCACCACUUGGUGUGAUAGCACCAGCUCCACCCGUCUCUCUCCCCUUCACUGCACAGCUUCCUACCGUGCCUGGACCCUUGCAGGUGAUGGUCUUCAACCCCCCAACUCCGUUGUGUAAGGA